rnacentral:misc_RNA from 1 species
UGCACAUGCCCGAGGCUCGCUUUAUUGGUGUGUACUGCGCCUCAGCUGCCCAAGAGGUCAGCGCGUUGCUGCUCACAUAUCCGCGCCUCGCGCCAUUUCUAAAACUCUACAGACAGGAGGGAGGGCGCGUACACGUCUAGAGGCACUACGGACAUGUGCGUCGAUACAGAUGGAUCUUGCACCGCGAUAGAGUACAAGCGUACGCGUAAUAACCUCUGGUUCCACAGAAGCUACGAGUAGAGGGAGUGACGAGAAGGGCCGCAGCCUGCAGCGCUUCCUCAUCUUCAUGUUCUUCACUGUGGGGAUCCUUCUACGCUGAAGCGGCCAUCAGUGCCAUUGAACAUACUGGCGUGAUUGUUCGCCGAGGAAUAGAGCUUACCUGCUCACGUGCGCCUUACUCAGGAGCUGCCUCGAUGCAUUAUGUCGUUCCCUCUGCCGCUUCUUCGACCUGUUCUCGAGGACUUGCCGGCUGUGCCUUCGAUGGCUGGCGUCGUCGCUUCAGCUGAGCAGGGAGCCGCGGGAGACUCGCAGCCAUCAGGGGGAGAGGCUGCCCGCGUCUUGGAGGCGCCAAAGCCUGUCCACGCCUCCGCCCCAACGUCUUCCUUCUCAAAUGGCGAGACUCCUGUGCACGCAAGUGACAACUGCGGCGGCGUCACCGUGGACGCCUCAGAGAUCGGUGAAUCGCAUCGUCUGCAGCGACGGCAGGACUAUGGGAAGACACCCAUCGCGCUUUCGGCUUUACCAGAACGGCCAGUGUUGAGAGUCGUCGCGGGAGAUGGCAGCGGGCGUGCUUCAUCCGCUGCCGGCAGCGUUCACCCCGAGGAAGGCGACGGGAGCGAAACUGGCUCGCCGACGACGUCCCCGGUGCAGGGUGUAUGGACGCAGCAUGUCUACUCUCAGCCUACCUCUGCAGGUAGAGACAACAGCGUGGUGGUGCUGUCUGAUGCGGCGGCUCGUAUGAUUGCGCACGCAGUGCAUCGCUCCUCACUGCUACAGCAGUGCUUCAUGCAAUGGCAGGUGCAGCAAGCACGCCAUGCGCAGCAGCGCCUGCGUCGCGAAUGCUUCGCCGAGGGCUACUACCAGCGCAACCUCUUGUACCUCUUCUUCCGCGCGUGGCAGUGGCGCUAUGAUCGACGCGUGACAUGUGCGGAGCAGCGAAGAAUGCUCGAGGCACUGCGCGCGCGUCAUCUUCGCCGCCGUGCGUUUGUUGCGUGGCAGGGGUGGAAAGACGCGCGAAGGAGGCUGCGGGGAAUACUCGAUGAGAUGCAGGUGAGGACGGGAGCGGCUCUCACCCGGCAGUGCUUCGAGCGGUGGCAUCGCACGUCAGCACAUCGGGCCCUCGCACGGGCAGCGGCGCAGGCGUCGGCGGAUAACUUACGAGAUGCGCGAUUUCGCGACUGGCGGCACUUUGCCCUUCAACGCCAAAAGGGCCGCCUCUUGGCGAGCGUCUUGAUGCUUCACACGCCCGUCGCGUGGACUGCAGCUCAGCAAAGUCGUUGCGAUGAACUGCAUCUGCUCUAUGCGUGGGUUCAGUGGCUGCGAGUGGCGAUGCAGCGCCGCGCGUGCCAGUUGCGCAAGUGCGAAAGUGCCCUAUCAACCGUGGCGAUGCGCGCGGAGAAGGCUCUUCGACGGAGAUGGUACGUAUGGUGGCUUCAGGUCACGUGCGCGUCUCUUCAGUCGAGGCACACACGGCGCGGACUUCUUCAGAGGUACUACAAGAGCUGGACCCUCUUAGGCCGUCUUUGUCUGAUAAGACUGCAGUGGGAGAGGGAAACCCACUCGCCGCACGUGCAGCGUCGAUGCCUUGCGCACUGGUGCGGUCGUUUAGGAGGGCGCCGAACCAGGCGUGAGCAUCUGCGAAUGGCGGAGCUCUUCUUUGAGUCUGUCGUGCAGGCGCACGCCGCGCGCGCCGCUUUUUGCUGCUGGCGCGCCCUGCAUCUCAGUCGCGCAAAGGCUCAGCGAAUGCGCCGUGUGGCAGAAGGGUACGCGAGACCGGCGCUGCUGAGGCACCUGUUUCUGCGUCACAUCACGGACGGCGUGCUGGCGUCACCGACAGGGCUGGCAGAUGCGCUGGAGUAUGAGGCAUGGCACCGAGGUGCCGACGCAAAGGUGGUGAAGCCGAAGAGCAUUACCAUCGCCUCGAGUGAGAAGAGUACCCUCGACGCCUCCACAAAGACAUCGGGGACCUCCUCAACGCGUCUUCGACCACCGAUCCCCCUUCACCACCCCCGUCACGCUCCCACGAGGGGCCUCAGCGUCCCUGCAGCGCCCCCUGAGGCGCCUCUUGGGCCUGACUGGACGUCAAACCCAAGUGAGGCGGCGGGAACGACACGGCCGAUAACAGCCUCAGCCGCUGAGCAUCUUGCCGACAUGGAGGUGUUGCUGCCACCGCCGCCUUCGUACGAGGAAGUGACGAGCUCUUGGCGUUCGACGGACGCGAGCGGCCGAAUGGGGGCGUGCGCUCUGCCGGUGCGCGCGGAUGUUGGUGUGGGCACCAGCUGCGAGGCGCCUACGCCACUGCAGUGCGCGACUCCGCGCAUAAGCAGCGCGGGUGACCGCUCGGCCGCACGCCCGGAUGCCGUCCAUCAGCGGGAGGAAGCUGCGCCGCCUCCGGUGUCUACGGUGCCUGGCCGAGGCAUGCCGCCUGCCGGUGCGCCAAACGUGUGGCCAGCAGCAGUUCCUUGCUACGCCGUCCCAAACGGUGCCCCAGGUAGCUGGGCCUUCGGGUUUGUCGCUACAAGGAGUGGGUGGCAGACUCUGGACACCCUUGUCCCGCCGUCGGCAUCUGUUACUCCACUCGCAAGCACCAUGCCUUCAUAUUGCAGCCUUCAUUGCGCGCCUCCGACAGGUGACGCUGUCUCGGCCGCGGUCGAGUCCCCUUCAUGCGCUGCUUUCAGUAGGUUUUGCGCUGAAGGUGCCGCUCAGCUUUCUGCUGGCGAAUAUGGACCAGGAGCACCCGCCGCACUCCCCUCACCAGCUGUUCCUCUGCUAUCUGAGGGACUCUUUCCAGCACCGCCGUCGCCACGGACGCACUACGGCUUUGGCAUUCACCGCCACAUAGAUCCUCUUGCCCCUCUCACUUACUCGUCCAGUAGCGCCCCCCGCGCCGAGGAUCCUGGCUGCGCCGAUUCUCCUGACCCACGAGGGCAUGGCGGCCACAGAGCGCAGCGGCGGUGCGUUGGGCCUCCGGCAGUGACCCUCGGCGAUGCCAUCCUAUCACAAGGUCGCGUGCCUCUCAGCUUUGCGGGUCGGUGUGCGCGGAGUAAGAAGUACACAGGCGUGCCCUCCCCAGACAGGAAGGCGCCACGGGAUGUGCAGUCAGCGCAUACUACCCUCCUCUCUUCCUUGACUUCAUCAUCCUCGCGUUCCUCAUCUACAUCCGCUGCACCUCGAGCGAGUGAUGCGGCACCGUUCCCACUGUGCUCUCCUUCCUCCACCAGCGACUCAUCAACCCUCCGAGCGCGGGCAAGGGACGCGCUCGGCGAUUACAAGCGCCGCACACGUCUGAUUGCAGCAGAGAAGGCAGAGCUCGCCACCAUCGAAUCACAGCUGGCACUGGCACCCCACACCAAGGAUAUGGCCCACAAAAAGGCGCUAUCGAAAAGGAGGCGGUACUUGCAGCGGCGCCUUCUGGAGUGGGAGCAGCGGCGUGCGCAGAUAGCUCAGCUCGCCGUGUGGCUAGAGGGCUGCGUCAGCGCUGCCACGUCGGCGGCUGUUUCUCAAAGGGGCGCGGGUGAGCUCUAGCAGGGGUAUCGACAGUCGAGCGACGACGCAGGCCACUGGGCCAUCGACUCACAUCUGUUUUUUUUUUUCAUGGCUCGCUUUACCAUUGUGUCUUUGUGCCACUUGCCCAGCGCCGUUUUUCCGUAGCACAGCUGCACCGAGCGUCCCCUGUCUAUGGCACAACGAAGUGUGUGUGUGGGGUGGGUGGGCAUCAUCGACGUGAUGAAUGCUCUCUGCUUCGCCUUUCCUCCUGAGCGUCGACGAAUCUACUCCGACAGGGGGAGGGGGGGGGCGAUUGACGCGUUGGAAGGCAGCGCAUGCCACCAGGUGACGGUUUGACGUCUCUCUGGUCCAAGCUUCCCUCUUUCUACCUCUUGCUGCUGGAACCUCAUCACAUCUUCUCUUUCUGCUUUGCCUCUGCCGCCCCUCCGGUCACCUCUUCAUCGUAUUGGCCCGUUGCAACUGCAUGAAAUGAGCAUAG